UACCCCCACCAACCCAGAGGUGCAUUGUGGCCUUUAANGAGGUUAGCAGUGUAUCAGUACGUAUGACAAAGGCAACUUUGGCUUACAUUACAUAUAAGUUACCCCCCAUUUACACUUAAGAAGUUUUAAGAAUGAUACCUAUAACUAUAUAACUUUCAGCAAUGGAUCUCUAGGCUCUCACGUCGAUGAAGAACACAGUGAAAUGUGAUACGUAAUGUGAAUUGCAUAAUUCAGUGAAUCAUCGAAUCUUUGAACGCACUUUGCACCUUUUGGUUAUUCCGAGAGGUACGCCUGUUUGAAUGUCACGAAACCCCCCUCGUCUUUAACGCUUUCUAAAAGAGUUAUUGACGGAUUCUGAGUGUUGGCGUGUCAACGCCUCGCUUUAAAUAUAUCAGCACUUUUGGAUGGUUACAUGUUAGUUCAAAAGACGUACUUGAUGUCGUAUUUAUACAAUUCAUCGAGAUGGUCUUUGGUCGUAUCGACUAUCCGCUAAUAUGACGACUUGAAGAAUAGCUUCCUAACCCCAUUGAAUUUACCUUUAGACUUCAAAUCAGGUGGGACUACCCGCUGAACUUAA
rnacentral:rRNA from 1 species